rnacentral:rRNA from 1 species
CCCUUAGAUGUUCUGGGCCGCACGCGUGCUACACUGAGUGGAUCAGCGGGUCAGGUUGCGCGAAAGUGUUUCCUAAUCUUGAAAUCCGCUCGUGAUGGGGAUUGACGGUUGCAAUUUUCCGUCAUGAACGAGGAAUACCUUGUAAGCGCGGGUCAUCAUCCCGCGCUGAAUACGUCCCUGCCCUUUGUACACACCGCCUGUCGCUCCUACCGAUUGAGUGGUCCGGUGAGGCUUUGGGAUCUGAGCGGAAAGAGCGUUUCGCUGUUUCUGCUCGGAAAACUCAGUCGAACCUUAUCAUUUAGAGGAAGGAGAAGUCGUAACA